UUCGGUACAUCGGUGACAGGUGGUGCAUGGUUGUCGUCAGCUCGUGUCGUGAGAUGUUGGGUUAAGUCCCGCAACGAGCGCAACCCCUAUUGUUAGUUGCCAUCAUUCAGUUGGGCACUCUAGCGAGACUGCCGAUAAUAAACCGGAGGAAGGUGGGGAUGACGUCAAAUCAUCAUGCCCCUUAUGACCUGGGCUACACACGUGCUACAAUGGUUGGUACAACGAGUUGCGAGUCGGUGACGGCGAGCUAAUCUCUUAAAGCCAAUCUCAGUUCGGAUUGUAGGCUGCAACUCGCCUACAUGAAGCUGGAUUCGCUAGUAAUCGUAUAUCAGCCAUGAUACGGUCGAAUACGUUCCGGGCCUU
rnacentral:rRNA from 1 species